AACGUAGGUAACCUGCCCAUGUGUCCGGGAUAACUGCUGGAAACGGUAGCUAAAACCGGAUAGGUAUACAGAGCGCAUGCUCAGUAUAUUAAAGCGCCCAUCAAGGCGUGAACAUGGAUGGACCUGCGGCGCAUUAGCUAGUUGGUGAGGUAACGGCCCACCAAGGCGAUGAUGCGUAGCCGGCCUGAGAGGGUAAACGGCCAUAUUGGGACUGAGACACGGCCCAA
rnacentral:rRNA from 1 species